rnacentral:rRNA from 1 species
AACGAACGCUGGCGGCAGGCCUAAAACAUGCAAGUCGAACGGGUGUAGCAAUACAUCAGUGGCGCACGGGUGAGUAACGCGUGGGAACAUGCCCCUUAGUACGGGACAACGUCGGGAAACUGACGCUAAUACCGUAUAAUAUCUCCGGAUCAAAGAUUUAUCGCUGAGGGAGUGGCCCGCGUCUGAUUAGCUAGUUGGUGAGGUAAUGGCUCACCAAGGCUACGAUCAGUAGCAGGUCUGAGAGGAUGAUCUGCCACACUGGGACUGAGACACGGCCCAGACUCCUACGGGAGGCAGCAGUUAGGAAUAUUGGACAAUGGGGGAAACCCUGAUCCAGCCAUGCCGCGUGUGUGAUGAAGGCCCUAGGGUUGUAAAGCACUUUCGUUGGGGAUGAUAAUGACCGUACCCAAAGAAGAAGCCACGGCUAAAUUCGUGCCAGCCGCCGCCGUAA